GAUGAACGCUGGCGGCGUGCUUAACACAUGCAAGUCGAACGAAGCACUUAUCUUUGAUUCUUCGGAUGAAGAGGUUUGUGACUGAGUGGCGGACGGGUGAGUAACGCGUGGGUAACCUGCCUCAUACAGGGGGAUAACAGUUAGAAAUGACUGCUAAUACCGCAUAAGACCACGGAGCCGCAUGGCUCAGUGGGAAAAACUCCGGUGGUAUGAGAUGGACCCGCGUCUGAUUAGGUAGUUGGUGGGGUAACGGCCUACCAAGCCAACGAUCAGUAGCCGACCUGAGAGGGUGGCCGGCCACAUUGGGACUGAGACACGGCCCAAACUCCUACGGGAGGCAGCAGUGGGGAAUAUUGCACAAUGGGGGAAACCCUGAUGCAGCGACGCCGCGUGAGCGAAGAAGUAUUUCGGUAUGUAAAGCUCUAUCAGCAGGGAAGAAAAUGACGGUACCUGACUAAGAAGCACCGGCUAAAUACGUG
rnacentral:rRNA from 1 species